rnacentral:rRNA from 1 species
UACGUAGGGGGCAAGCGUUGUCCGGAAUCAUUGGGCGUAAAGAGCGCGUAGGCGGCCCUGUAAGUCCGCUGUGAAAGUCAAGGGCUCAACCCUUGGAUGCCGGUGGAUACUGCAGGGCUAGAGUUCGGAAGAGGCGAGUGGAAUUCCUGGUGUAGCGGUGAAAUGCGCAGAUAUCAGGAGGAACACCGAUGGCGAAGGCAGCUCGC